UUUUUUUUUUCUGUUGGAAAGAAUUUUAUGCAAUAGUUGAUUAUAAUGUGCAUUUUCAUUCGUUUUUGUAAUUUCGCUAUGUCAUACUUUUAAUCUCUAUGCUUGCUGUUUAGCUGAUUUGUUUUGUUGAACUGAGGGAAAAUAGGAUGGAAGGAAGUGGAAAGCUGAUGUUGAAUUGACAACAUGGACAGAGUGGGAAAUGGAUGAUUUUAAGGUGGGAGGGGAGGGUUAGACUGUGCAGAGAUGUUGGAUUUCUUUGAAGUUGGAGGAGGAGAAAGAGAAAGGAAAGGAAUGGGAGAACUGGAGGAAGAUGUAGUGGAAUGAGAAAAGGAUGGGGGAACCAGUAGAAUCAAUUCCAUGAAAUUAAUGACAUAGAAGUGCAAAUUAAUUUUUGGGAGGUUUUAAACACUUGAAGUAUGAAUGUGUAAAUGAUUUCCUUAUAAUUUUAUCGAAUUCAUUUGUUCCAAACAAGCUCAUAGGAUUUUGUUUUUGCCUUGUUUACAAAUAAACCUAAACCUAUCUCUCUUAUCAUCUUAUCUCACAGCCUCUUGUUUCCGCAGCUGCCCUCCAUUUGCCAUUCGUAGAACCCACAAAGACUUCCAUCUAGUUGGCGUCUCUCUCAAGUCUCAACCUCAACCUCCUAUCUUACGCUGCCUAACCCGCAAGUGACAACCUCUCUGUCAUUGCCUCUUCGCCAGCUUUUACUGCAGAAUGUACGACCCACAACCCGCAAGCCCUUUCUCAUUUCCACUCGCCAGCCUAGUAUCACAGGACAUGCUUGAGAAAAUUUAAGAAACCCAAAGAACGAAGUCAGGAACCUUCUCUGCUACUCGCAACUGCACAGAGAUGCUGAGACAAUACAUGAAGAAUCCAUCUCUUCUGACUCGUCUUCACUUCUAUAAUCCUCAUAGAGAGAUGCAUAGUAGAAAUAAGAAGGCGAUGGAGUUCAUAGCGAAGGGGUGGAACGCUUUGAAAGAAGUAGACAGAGUCAUUGAUUACUGCGAACUCAAUGAUCGCCGCCUCAUCCCGCUCCUCAGGGUACUCAGUGGAGCUUAAUGCUAAUUAGAAUUAAGAGGUUUAGUCGAAAGUAUUUAUUUUAUUUUAUUAGGUUGUGAAAUGAGUUGAGAUAUGACAGGAGAACCCAUUUGGGUUAUCUACUUGGAGUCCUGGAUAUUCAUGGAAUAUGGCCAGAACUUGAGUGGAAUUUUGUUAAUUAUGAUUCUGGGUGUGCAUGACUGAAUCAUAUCAUUUUGAACGGAAUGUAGAGAAUCUUUGAUGGAUUGAUCAAUUUUGAAAGGGUGAAAAUUUGCAUAUCCAAUGAUUAUGGAACUUCGAUAACACAAUUGAUUGAGGUGCUAGCAAUUAGUUGACCAUUUGCAUUUGAAUUAAGGACUUUGAUAAUGUAAUCCAGUUGCUAGUAAAUGUUUGAAUCAGAGAGAUUCAAUUAUGUUUCUACUUGAUUGAGGUGUUGAGAACUAGUUUAUGAUUAUCUGUGUUAGCAUUAUGUAAAACUAAAUUCACUUUGAUUUUUACUGGCUUUACUUGACUACUUAAAUUUUUUAGAGGAUGUUAUUUCAUAUGAAAUUUUUAUGCUUCAGUUUAAGCUAGUACAUAUUCCCUUUUUUAUGUGAAUGCAUUCAGAUAUUCAAAGUAGAGAAGAAUGUAUCUUUGCUCUUGACAACUUCAUUUUUAUUUUUCCUCAUGUGUUUUUGAUGUCAGACUGCAAAAGAUAACUUUGAAUUGGCUUUGGAGGCUGACAACUCAAAUACCCAUGCUAGGUAUUGGUUGUCAAAAUUGCAUUUGAAGUAUCAUGUUCCUGGGGCAUGUAAAGCUAUGUAAGUUUACUUCCUACUUCUCCUUUUGGCGCAUGCAUGUGGAUGUGAUUAUAGUAUGAGGUGUAGACAUUGUGAUUUGUGAGUACUGAGUACACUAAUUUGUUAAAAUAGCCUGUGAGCUAGCUAGACAAUCAAUUACAUUUUUAGCUGUUUUCCCUCUCCCAAUAAGAUUUUGGGAAUUUGGGUUAGUUUUGAGUUUCAGAUUGCUUUCAAUUAACAUUUUAAAGCUGAGAUAUGGAAAUCAGUUGAGAAUUAUGGGUACUUUUUGAUUUUUUCUGUGCCUUCUGUUGUCAAAAAGUCCAUAAAAAGUACUAGUUACUUAUUUCUGCAAUCUUUUUGAUAGUCAAUUUUGAAUAAUAAAGUGUCAAUUUAAACUCAUUUUUCUCAACAUUCACAACAGUUGAACUCAUGUAUUUGGUUCAUGUAUUUCCCUUUUUGAUUUCCUGGCUAUGUUUCUGAUACAUGUUAUAUUGUGCACAAAAAUGAUGUUGUUUUCUCUUUCUUUGUCAUGACUUAGAGGAGCUGCUUUGUUAGUGGAAGCUGCAGACAUGGGUGAUCCUGAUGCACAAUAUGAAUUGGGUUGCCGUCUAAGAGUUGAGGUUGGGCAAUUUAGCAUCUGUUGAGUGGUUUUUAUGUGAAAACUGUGAGCAAAAAAUAUCUAUCAGAUUUCUGUUUUGGCCUCUUAUAUGUGCAUCUACGGUGUUAGAAGCCUUAAAGAAUGAUAGAAUCAGGAAAAAAUGCAAGAUUUAACUUUAUUACUUCAGAUAAACAAUGUAUGAAUAUUCCAUCCUUGCUCAAUGUUAGGUAGUGUAUGGGAUUAUCAUACUAACUCCAAAUAAUAGUGUAGCUGCCAAUUUAAUUGCUUGUUCUGCCAAAUUGGCACCAACCUCAAGCAGUUGCGACAGGGAAAUUUUUAGGGAUUUAAUCUUGUUCUAUAAAAUAAAUGUAUUUGCCUACUCUGUGAUAACUUUCUUUUGUUGAAACUUAUUGUACUUAAUUUAAAUUCGCGCUGAUGGAUUGCAAAGCUGGAUGGCUAAGAUGUUUAUAAUCAGUAUAGACGUGAGAUAGAUAUUUUUAAAUGGCCAAUUAUUGGUAGUUCUAUUGGUUCUGAAUGUCUGACGUUACUUGGUGAUCUUUUUUGUCUUGUUCUUUGGAUAGAAUGAUUAUGUUCAAUCAGAUCAGCAAGCUUUCUAUUAUUUGGAGAAGGCUGUUGACCAGUUGCAUCCAGGUGCUCUUUACCUUCUCGGUGCUGUAUAUUUGACAGGGGACUGUGUGAAGAAAGAUGUUGCCUCAGCUUUAUGGUGUUUUCACAGGGCAGCAGAGAAGGGCCAUGCUGGUGCAGCUGUAGCGUAUGGAUCUGUCCUUCUUAGAGGUUAGCUGGUUACAUAUUUUUUUACUGUUCUGUUAGAAUUCGAAGAACUUUAGUAAUGUUUUCUUUUCCCCCUUUUUGAUAUGCAAUCAAUCACAUAUUGGAUUUUCAUGAAAUUUAUGUCUUGCUCAAUACACUAUGUGCUAAAGUUGUAGAUUGAGACUAUUUAGACUGAGGAGAUGAAAUUUUGUAUCUCAAUACCAUUUUUGAACUUCAUCUAGGCUGGGCUUAUCAAGAUUUUAGGUUUAAAAUGCAGCAUUGCUUCAUCUAAAAAUUGUAGAAUCAUCUAUCUAGAUUGUUUACAUAAACAAAAACAGAUUAUACAAGUGCUUAAUUUUGAUUUGGGCUUUCCUAAAAUUGUGUAAUUCUCAGGUGCUCAAGUCCCAGAAUCAGUAAUGAAAUUCAAUUUGAAGCGGGGUUCCUCUGCCAAAAAAGUUAAAAAUGCUGAAAGCUAUGUGAUAAAUCCAGUAGAGAUGGCAAAAGAACAGUUCCAGGUUGCAGCAAGAGCGGGGUGUGAUCUUGGAUUAAAAUGGUUGCAAAGACUCGAGGAAGAAGAGAAACAUCUACUUGCUGAGAGCAGCUCUAAGGAUCUCUCUCAAACCUAAAUUACUAUACUUAUCAUGUAAUUUGUCAGAGCUCAAAAGCAAGUACUCAACUAAGAUACAAAUUUCAGCAAAAAUUCCACUCUACGCUACAAUCCGAUUGGGGAGAUUACUUUGGGACUGCUACCACAAAGAGGAAGAUACAAAACUCUCAGUGGUAAUGGCUAAAAGAUUACAAGUUUGAACCCUAAUUGCAGCCCAAUUAAUCAAACAAAAGGAAGAUACAAUAUACAAGACUUUCGCACUUUCUAGUUGUAUCUUCCAUUUUAGUUGCAUAGUUUUCCUAGUUGGAUAGUUGGCAGUAUAAAAACCCCCUCUGCUAUAGACCAAGAGCAGUGUACAAAGUACAAGAAUUCUCUUUGUUCUUGUUUGGUACCAAAUUGAUAAUUUUGUUCACACA
rnacentral:misc_RNA from 1 species